AUCUAGCUGACGAGUCCCAAAUACAACGAAACGCGCGUCUAAACUGAAU
rnacentral:hammerhead_ribozyme from 1 species